rnacentral:misc_RNA from 1 species
UUUCCGUAGGUGAACCUGCGGAAGGAUCAUUAUUGAAUGAACUUGGUGUGGUUGUUGCUGGCCCUCUCGGGAGCAUGUGCACACCCACCAUCCUCAUCUCUCCACCUGUGCACUUCUUGUAGACCUGGAUACACUUUCCGAGGCAACUCGGUCUGGAGGAAUGCUGUGCAAGCUUUCUUUGUAUUUCCUGGCCUACGUUUUUCAUAUACCCCAUAGCAUGUAACAGAAUGUAUCAUUGGUCCUUUGUGCCUAUAAACCUUAUACAACUUUCAGCAACGGAUCUCUUGGCUCUC